rnacentral:misc_RNA from 1 species
GUUAGUCUCAUUCACAUUUCGAAGGAUAAGGUCUUUCUUCCUCCUCUACUCACUCUUUCUUUCUGUGCACAUCCAUGGCUGAAGCUUCUAGAAUUUUCCAGACAACGCUUUUCCCUGCAUUCUCUACAGUCCACAAGCCUUGCAGAGUCACUCAGUCACCUAGUUUUGUACGCAAAAAAUACCCAACAGUUCACUGCUCAUCAUCAGUUUCAACAAGUGACAGCGCCACCGCGAAAGCGGCGUCGGUGGCCCAGAAGGUGCCGUGGGGCUGCGACAUCGAUUCUUUGGAGAACGCGGAGGCCCUCCAGAGAUGGUUGUCUGACUCUGGCCUACCUCCCCAGAAAAUGGCCAUACAAAAAGUGGAAGUGGGAGAGAGAGGUUUGGUUGCUUUGAAGAAUAUUAGGAAGCGUGAGAAGUUGCUCUUUGUGCCUCCCUCGCUUGUUAUCACUGCUGAUUCAGAAUGGAGCUGCCCAGAGGCUGGUGAAGUGUUGCAAAAGUACUCUGUACCAGAUUGGCCUUUACUUGCGACCUACCUCAUUAGUGAAGCAAGUCUUCAGCAAUCUUCAAGAUGGAGCAAUUACAUCUCAGCGCUUCCCCGACAACCAUAUUCACUUUUGUACUGGUAACUUCUUGUUCUGUGAUACUUAUUCACAUUAGAGUUUUUCUUCUAUACAGAAAGGGUCUAGUCUCAGUUUCUUCCCCUACAGCAUCUCUAUAUCAUUUCAGGACUCGAGCUGAACUAGAUAGGUACUUGGAAGCUUCGCAGAUCAGGGAGCGUGCAAUUGAAAGGAUUACCAAUGUUAUCGGAACGUAUGAAAUUUUUAUUUCAUAGCAUCUCUGCAGUAUAUAUUUGAGCUUUCUUUUGAUUGAUAUGCCUGACUUGCUCUAUAUUCAUAUUUCAGCAACAUAUCAUGUUGAAUGUUCUAUUUAAUGAUUCACUUUGAAUGUUCGUUCCGAUGUCCUUUGCAGAUAUGAUGAUUUAAGACUUAGGAUUUUUUCCAAGUAUCCUGACCUAUUUCCUGAAGAGGUACUUAGUCUUGAAUUGCUUUUUCUACAAAAUGAAGAGGAAUUUGUAUCUAUACUUCCACGGUCACAUAAUUAGGCUUGCUAGUUCUUUUUAUAUGUAUUUCCUUAAGAUGCUCUUUCCUUCAUUUUCUUAGCCAUAAAAUGUUGUUCUUUUGAUCUGAUCACCAUGCUGGGCAUUCUUGGUCUUCUUCUGAACACCUUGGUUUCAUAAUUAACUUGUCCACCUUCUACAUUUGAUGUGAUGUAAGAGCAUCUGUAAUUUGUACCAUGGUUUUCAUGAAUGCUAUAGACAGUACAAUUGCUGUAAACCCAGUCUUGUUUGACUUUGGAUUAUAUAUGAGUUACAGGUAUUCAAUAUGGAGACUUUCAAGUGGUCAUUUGGCAUUCUCUUCUCUCGCUUGGUAAUUAAACCUUUUCAACAUUGUUUUUAUAAACUCAUUACCUGAUGGCAAUUGAAUAUAGAAAAUUUGUCAUUGUUAUGUAAUAGAAGUCAUCACCAGUUUGUUUCAUAAAGAAAAUCAGCAUUGAAAUUCUGAGAAUUUUGAUUCUGUUUCUCUUCUCUGUUCUAACCUUAAUUGCUAAACAAGGAAAGCUUGUUUUCUUUGCUUUGAUUACUCAUGCAACCUGCUAGUUAUAUUGAUGUUAAUGGAAAUCUAUAGGCAUACGCAUACUUCAUAUGUUGCUACAAGGAAAUGAAGUGACAAUUAUUCAGGACUUCCUACAAUUACGUUUGAGAUUUUGGAUAGUAAUUAAAACAAGCAAAUUUUGAAGGCCUUAUACGAGAAUUCCAAUAGUGUUCUGUGUUAGAAUUGAUUUUACUCUUAUAUAUAGGUUCGCUUACCCUCAAUGGAUGGAAGAGUUGCCUUGGUUCCCUGGGCAGAUAUGCUUAAUCAUAAUUGUGAGGUUGAGACCUUUUUGGAUUAUGAUAAAUCAUCUAAGGGAGUUGUCUUUACAACAGAUCAACAGUACGAGCCAGGUGAGCAGGUAAACCAAAUUUUCCAUUGAAAAAUUGAAGCCAAUGUUUACUAGUAGUAGUGCUGGAAAAUUGGUCAUCAGAGUCACUUGGAGUUGAAAAAUACCUCCAAAGUGACUAUAUCAGAAAGGAGGACAGUGAAAAUAUAUAUAUUUCUUAUUAUUUUUUUGUGAAUCUAUUAAAAUAUUAAGAAUUCUUACAGGAAGUAAAUGUUUGCUAGAAAAAGAAUUCUGGAUUUGAAAAGCUGAAUAUUUUAUCUGUAGAAGUGUAUGGUCACCACUCACCAACGGUAAUGGCUUGAAAGAAGAGAAAAAAAGGCAAUCGGUUUUCCACUGGCAGCCUGUCCUCUCUCAAAAGUGGAAUGCUGCUCAAGGUUUUCAUAUCAUAUGGCAAGAAAUCUAAUGGAGAGCUGUUGCUAUCAUAUGGAUUUGUUCCAAGGGAGGGCACCAACCCUAGUGAUUCAGUAGAGCUGUCAUUGUCUUUGAAGAAAUCUGACAAAUGUUACAAGGAGAAGUUAGAAGCUCUAAGGAAGCAUGGUUUAUCAGCAUCUCAGUGUUUUCCUUUGCGAAUCACUGGUUGGCCAGUGGAAUUAAUGGCGUACAGCUUUUUAGCAGUCAGCCCUCCAAGUAUGAGCAGACAGUUCGAAGAGAUGGCUGCAGCAGCAUCAAAUAAGACAGGCAUGAAGAAGGAUUUAAGAUACCCUGAAAUUGAGGAACCGACAUUACAGUUCAUAUUGGAUAGUUGUGAGUUGAGCAUAUCAAAGUACACCAAAUUCUUGCAGGCAAGUGGAACAAUGGAUUUGGAUGUAACAUCUCCAAAGCAACUUAACAGAAGAUUGUUCCUGAAACAGCUGGCAGUAGACUUGUGUAACAGUGAGCGGAGAAUACUAUUCCGUGCUCAAAAUGUAAGAUUAUGUCACUCUUACCUUUCUCGAUUUUUCAGUGUGACAGUACUUUGAGUGCGAUUGUUGCGAUAAAUAUUUGGUUAGCGCAGGGUUUUUGCAUUGUACAUAUAUAACACUCUUUCCACUUUUCUCAAUUUUAAAGUCCAUGUCACUUUAUAUCAUUACUUUCACAGAAAUGUUGAGAUGUACUGUGAUUCACUUGUUCAGAUUUAUCUGAGUCUUUUUGUUAUGUAACAUCUCGGUGUGUCAUAAUCACUGAUAAAAAAUAGUUAUGCAAUGAGUGCAUUUGUAGUAGUCCCCUUAUUUAAUAGCAUACUAUCUAUCUGCAUUGCACUUUAUGAGGAUAUGCUGUACAAAAAAUUUCAGUUUGCUAAUGAUUGAUCAUUAUGUUUUCUGAUAUGCAAACAAGUUAUGCCUCACAAUCUCUCUUUUUAGAUGGUCUAUAAUUGAUCUGAUGUUCAUUUUUUAUUAUGCCUUACGAACGCUUCUACAGGUAUUAAGAAGAAGACUCAGGGAUAUUAGGAGUGGUGAAUUGAGAGCUUUAAAAAUAUUUGAUGGGUUCAGAAACCUUUUUAAAUGAAUGUUCGGUUUGUUAGCACAUUGAUUCGUGGUUGUGUUUCAAAUCUUUAGCUCACUGAGUGACCAGGUGUGGCUGAGUUCGCAUCCAGUGUGCUCUUUCUUAGGAGUUAAAGCCAAAAUAUGGGAAGUUCAGGCCAGGAGCUUGUCAAGUGGAAGGAGAGGAUAUGCAGAUAUUGUUUUUCCUUGUAACUAAACUUGAGAGAAUUUUGUUUGCCAACAAUUUGAUUGAACAACAGAUUAGCUAUUUAUAUUCUAAAUACUCAAUUAUCAUAUCCGCUUUCCCCUUUACUGACGAUGAGUGUGAUUGAUAUUCUAGGCUUUUUGAGUAUUUUACUAUUGAGUUUUGUUGAAUUCCUUAGCUGCAUCACAUAUCCUAAGUGCUUCAAUUAUUUUUGAGAAUGUAGUACAUUGAGAAUUAAAC